rnacentral:lncRNA from 1 species
UGUCCAUCCAGUAAAUGUUGGCUCAUUGCGAUGAUCGUGUCUUAUUCACAGGACCGUUGUGAAGAUCAGAUGGGACAUUGUACGCGAAGGCAUGCUGCGGACACUACAUGCCUGGGCAAGAGCGUGGAGGCCCCAGAGUGGGUCUGACGACACUGUUGAUGAAGAUCUUGGCUGUGACCUCUGUGGGAAAUGAGCCAUGGACCAACCAAUGUGAGUGAUGGGUAGUGGUGGUGUUUUACAGUU